UGGGGAAUUUUACACAAUGGGGGAAACCCUGAUGCAGCGACGCCGCGUGAUUUAGAAGGCCUUCGGGUUGUAAAAAUCUUUUCUAUGGGAAGAAAAUGACAGUACCAUAGGAAUAAGGACCGGCUAAUUACGUGCCAGCAGCCGCGGUAAUACGUAAGGUCCGAGCGUUGUCCGGAAUCAUUGGGCGUAAAGGGUACGUAGGCGGGUAAGCAAGUUAGAAGUGAAAUCCUAUAGCUCAACUAUAGUAAGCUUUUAAAACUGCUCAUCUUGAGGUAUGGAAGGGAAAGUGGAAUUCCUAGUGUAGCGGUGAAAUGCGCAGAUAUUAGGAGGAAUACCGGUGGCGAAGGCGACUUUCUGGCCAUAACCUGACGCUGAGGUACGAAAGCGUGGGUAGCAAACAGG
rnacentral:rRNA from 1 species